GCUCAUGUAGCUCAGUCGGUAGAGCACUUCCUUGGUAAGGAAGAGGUCAUCGGUUCGAUUCCGAUCAUGAGCACCA
rnacentral:tRNA from 1 species